rnacentral:tRNA from 1 species
AGACUUAGGUUAAAAUCUAAACCAACAGCCUUCAAAGCCCUAAAUAAGAGCCAGCCCUCUUAGUCUCUGACU